rnacentral:tRNA from 1 species
GCCUAGGUGGCGGAAUUGGUAGACGCGCUAGACUCAAAAUCUAGUGGGGGCAACCUCGUAUCGGUUCGAGUCCGAUCCUGGGUA